rnacentral:lncRNA from 1 species
UGUCAGAUAGAUAUAGAGAAAGGAUGAGUUUUAAUAGCGAUGACCUAAGAACAAUUAAUGAAGAAGAGAAGAGGAGGCGUAAUCAGGCUGGUUUUGUUGGGUCUAAAACAGUGGUAACUUGGAGAUAGAGACAACUUCCAAACCCCUAAAACGCGUGGUCAGUUUCCAUUGGUCCUAUCAUUUUCUUCUACAUCUUAACCGCUCCCUCGUCAUCUUCAUCAUCAUCAUCAUCAUCAUCAUCAUCAUAACUCAUUCCAUCACUUUUCUUUUUUCC